rnacentral:misc_RNA from 1 species
GCUUCACCGUCUUUCAUAAGCCACGGAUGUUGGAGGGCUUCAUCUGCAGUGAUUCGUUUUUUAGGAUCCAUUGUUAACAUUUUCCUCACAAGAUCCUUUGCUGAGGUAGAUAUAGAAGGCCAUGGAGAUGAUUCAAAAUCCAAUUGGCCUUUAACAAUUUCUUCAAAUAUGCCCUUUUCAGUCUCAGCCCAGAAGGGAGGGAAUCCACUUAAUAAAAUGUACAAAAUAACUCCAGCACUCCACACAUCUAUCUCCUUCCCAUACUUGCGCUUCAACACCUCAGGGGCAA